UACAGAGGUCUCAAGCGUUGUUCGGAUUCAUUGGGCGUAAAGGGUGCGUAGGCGGCGCGGUAAGUCGGGUGUGAAAUCUCGGGGCUUAACUCCGAAACUGCAUUCGAUACUGCCGUGCUUGAGGACUGGAGAGGAGACUGGAAUUUACGGUGUAGCGGUGAAAUGCGUAGACAUCGUAAGGAAGACCAGUGGCGAAGGCGGGUCUCUGGACAGUUCCUGACGCUGAGGCACGAAGGUCAGGGGAGCAAACGGG
rnacentral:rRNA from 1 species